UCAUCUGCCUUGUUAUUUCCUUCCCACUCCUACAAUAUGCUUUGAUUGCAGGGUGGCCUUGUCCCAACUUUACAGAGAAUUGUCCUGUGUCUCUAUUCUCAUUAAGUCUGGGUUUAAAAAGAAUGACCCCUAAGAGGCAAGGGAUUUAGCUGCUCAGCAGGUAACAGCUGAAGAAAAUCAUGAGCUGGUCAGUCUUCCCACCAGUAGUGAAUGGCGCUGUCAAAACAGCAGGGCAAUAAGUUUAAGAUUCCUUGGUGAGAACCCCGGAGCAUUCCACAAUAAAGGAUCUGCAUAUCUAGCCAGCACCCAUAGCUGACCAGUGGGAGAAAUUGUGAAAAUGGUAACUAGCUGAGCUUCCUUUUGGGAGACCCUAUCAUUCCCAAAGAAAGGAGAGAAGGAAAAAUUGAACAAGAAUUUACAAAGAGGCCUCCCAAUACCUCCUCUCUCUUUGGUGCUACUUGACAGCAUAUGCCUGCAACACUGGGUGUUGGGUCUAUUCAAACUGUGCUAUUCAAACUAUUUUACGAGAUUCAAAUCAGAGCAUGAAACUGCUUUCACGUCCAGUGAGCAGUGCAUCUUAAAACUACAUUGUCUAUUUACGUACAUGGCUUUGAUGCCUGACAGAAAGAAGGCUAAGAAAAAUUACCAGCCAGAUACUUGGUGUGCUGUGGCACUCUAGUAAACACGUCUGUCGUCAAAUUUAUUAACAGGAGACUUUCUCAGCAAUACCUCAGGACAUUCACAUAUGAUGUAGUCAUUUAUGAGAAACAUACACUUGGCUUAAAAAUAAAACUGUUUAGUGGUGAAUCA
rnacentral:lncRNA from 1 species